rnacentral:lncRNA from 1 species
CCGCUUAGUGGCUUCACCAACUUCUCCCAAAUACACUACUCUCUCCUCUCUGUUCUGAGCUCCGCAAGAACCCUCUCUGUUUCUUGAUCCAAUUCCCAAAAAAUGGAGUCCCAAACCUCCCAAAGCACAAAGAAAACCAAUCAAACCCUUCCUCCCAGGAGAGGGCAGAUUAAGAUGAAGAUAUUCAAGUCUAUUGCAGGAAUUGUGACCAAGGCUAGCGGGUCCAAAAGGAAGAAUGCGGGUCCCCUCAGCUCAACUUCGACUACCCCGCAUGAAACCCCAAGUGGGUUCAAUUCGGAUGCUGAUUCUGAUCCAUGAUCUCUGCUGCGGAACUAGCUGGAUUCUAAUGUUGUAUGUACAGGGGUUUUUUUUUUUUUUUUUGGAGGCGUCAGAGGUUUCCGAAUGUUGUUCCCUCGGCUUCGUCAAGCCUUCAGUCUGGGGUUUUUGAGGUCCGGCUGCGUAGGAAUAAGCUCUUUCCUUUUUUGUUUCUCUUUUGAGCCCCGGAGCUGAGAUUUGACCAAUUUUUGUUCUCGUCGUUUUGUAAUACUACCUAAUAUCAGAGUCGUGUUUGUAAAUAAUGAGGCCAAUUCGAUGGCUGAAACCGUCUCAUUUUCUGGUACUUAAAUUUUGAUGCUGGUGUAAGUUAUGACGAUUUGUAACAUCUACGAAGUUUUCUGCAUAUAUUAUUGCAGAUUUGGACUUUUGGAUAACUCUAAUCAAAACUUUUUUCAUAUUCUUUGACCCGUGAAAUUUCUCUGCUCCAAUAUUCCAAACAUGUUCUGAGGAUAUCCCUUUUCUUGGGCUCUUGAGCUUCGGCGGGCAAUGAGCUUUGAGCCACCUCUGCAGUUUCAGGGAGGGAGCGCGGUGGUGGCUAAUCUCCAGAGCCAGAGGGGGAGGUAUGUGUUCUACGGUGGUGGGUAAAAGUGUAAAACUAACUGAAAUAGGGGCCAAAAGAAGUCAUUUGAUCGUUGCCACACCAAUUGGCCUUCGAUCAAGGUUCGAAUGACUCAUUCCGCACAUGUAUCAACUCCCCUAAUUGAUCGGUUCAUGAAUCAAGAUAAAAACGUUUGCCAAGUAUUUAUUGUAGUGCCCGAACUCUCGAAUUAGUUGUCAAUUUUUCUGAAUUUUCUUUCCAUGGUAAAUUUUAAUCUCUUCCGUGAUUGAAGAAAAUAUAUGUCGAUUUAUUAUUGGAGUGAAACGCUCUAAUAUG